AUACGUAGGGGGCGAGCGUCGUCCGGAAUGAUUGGGCGUAAAGGGCGCGUAGGCGGCGCGGUAAGUCUGGAGUGAAAGUCCUGCUUUCAAGGUGGGAAUUGCUUUGGAUACUGCCGCGCUUGAGUGCAGGAGAGGUUAUCGGAAUUCCCGGUGUCGCGGUGAAAGGCGUAGAGAUCGGGAGGAACACCAGUGGCGAAGGCGGGUAACUGGACUGCAACUGACGCUGAGGCGCGAAAGUGUGGGGAGCAAACAGGAUUAGAUACCCUGGUAGUCCACACUGUAAACGAUGAAUGCUAGGUGUAAGAGGUAUCGACCCCUUUUGUGCCGGAGUCAACACAAUAAGCAUUCCGCCUGGGGAGUACGGCCGCAAGGUUGAAACUCAAAGGAAUUGACGGGG
rnacentral:rRNA from 1 species